UCUUUAUGGCCAGCUUGUUCUCAGUAAAGGACCAUCAUUCGGUUUGGAUGAUGAUAUAGCUAAAGAAGCGAGUAAAGCAGAUCGUAACAAAAGAAAUAUGAGAGAGCUUGGAAUAUAAUACUUUUGAGUUUCCGUUCAGCUCUGAAAAGAUGGUAACUACAUUGCACGUUGGGGCAGAGUAGGCUGGAGUUCCUGUACAAAACUGUGUGCUUAUUGCUGGAGGCCAAUCUGGUGUAUCUGAAUCUUAAUGAAUAGUCAUGCCAUGUAUCGUUCUGCGGAGCAGAUAGGAAAAUUUGAGCUUCAUAUCAUGGAGGGAGAGUUUGCUGAUCCUCAAAUUGUAGUUAUGCUUGGUGAA